ACAUUCUCUUCAUUUUUCCUCCAUAUAAAGAGAAGAGGCAUUCAUAUUUCUUCACCACUUCACACUUCAUAUAGCAUCCUGUUUCUCUAUUCUAUUCUCUCUUAAUCUCUUAAUCUCAACAUGGAACAAUUUCCUCCCCACACCAACUGCCCGGCUCCAGACUACGAGUCUUCCAAGAAGGCCCAAGAGAAUGAAAGAAAAAGGGAAGAAGAGAAAAAGAAAAGAAAGGAGGAGAACAAACAGAAAAAAGGUGAAGCAACUGGCUCAACCAAGACGAAAUAAGGCUAUGGAUGUGCUGCUUCUAUAGACCAUGUUGGACGGCUUCCUCAUGGUCUCUCCUUAAGUUAUGUUGUUAAGUUUUUAUGCGGACUGUAAUAGUAAUAAAUUAGACCGCUAAUUAACAACUUUAUUAUGUACUUUAUGCCCCCAUGGUCAUGGUGUGGACUCUGGACUGUAAUACCUAAUGACUUCGAUGAUGUAUUUGGGAUUUGAAUGAGUCAUUAUUAUUA